UAUUUAAUAGAAUUUACGAGUUUUAAUAAUAAAUAUAUAAUUAACGAAUAUUUAUUUUAGUUAAUUACAUUUUAAAUAUUUUAACGAUUUAUGAAAUUAAAAAUAAUUUUAGAAUUUUUCGUUGAAAAGAAAUCGAAUUACGAAAAUUGAUUUAAUUUAGAAAACGAUCCUACCCGGUUUUGAAUUCGAAUCCUAAAACUAAACUCCUAAGUCUAGCCCAAUGGAAUAAAGCCCAAUAAAUAAACCCAAACAAAAUUACCCAUAUCUCUACUCUCCUUCACUUUCACGUAAAAACAAAACCCAACUCUAAAACCCUUCCUCCUCCCUCACUGCACGUAGAAAGGAAAAACAAAAAAAAGAGAAACUCAGCCCUCUCCUGGUUUCUUGCUGCGACACCACCUCCAACCACCACACGACCGACGCCUUCCUCCUUCAUCGUUUCGUCACAGCCGCCGCACCGCUGUCCUCCGCCGAGACGCCCUGCCGCCGGCGAGCCUCACUCUUCUUACUCCCUCUCGUUCUUCCCUUCUUUGUUCUUGCUGCUCGGAUUUCUCCCUCCACAAACAACCAGCGCAACCGCGACCACUCACAGCCACCAGUCGUGUCGCCCAGCCUUGCCACCGCCAGACUGCUGCCGUGUGUCGUCUACCGCCGGCCAGCAGUCCCUCUUCCUCUCUUUUGGUGGAGAAUUCUCUUUAGGCAACUUUUGAAAGUGUUAAAGUGGCCUAUCAGUUUGUUUACACAAGUCUCUAAGGAUCAAUAAGCAUUGUCCAUCUGCAGGUUUGAAGAUGUUGCAUCAUUGGGAUCGGGAAUAGAGAGCUUGUAUUAAGUUUUGAUUUGCUAAGUUGACUUGUGUUUGUU